rnacentral:rRNA from 1 species
CCUACGGGUGAGCAGCAGUGAGGAAUAUUGGUCAAUGGACGCAAGUCCGAACCAGCCAUGCCGCGUGCAGGAAGACGGCUCUAUGAGGUGUAAACUGCUUUUGUACGAGGGUAAACGCAGAUACGCGUAUCUGUCUGAAAGUAUCGUACGAAUAAGGAUCGGCUAACUCCGUGCCAGCAGCCGCGGUAAUACGGAGGAUUCAAGCGUUAUCCGGAUUUAUUGGGUUUAAAGGGUGCGUAGGCGGUCGGAUAAGUUAGAGGUGAAAUCCCGAGGCUCAACUUCGGAAUUGCCUCUGAUACUGUUCGGCUAGAGAGUAGUUGCGGUAGGCGGAAUGUAUGGUGUAGCGGUGAAAUGCUUAGAGAUCAUACAGAACACCGAUUGCGAAGGCAGCUUACCAAGCUACUUCUGACGUUGAGGCACGAAAGCGUGGGGAGCAAACAGGAUUAGAUACCCCUGUAGUC